rnacentral:lncRNA from 1 species
GGUCUGUAUCAAAAGACAGAAUCUUGAUGACUAAGACAUUUUCUUUGGACCCAGGAGAUGAACAUAUGCCUGAGAAGAAGAACUAGUGUGGAACUGUCAGCCAGGUUUUUGAUGAGUGCUCAGACUGCUUCCUGAUCCCGCACCACAUUUACUAUAGUGGACAGAUGCUCUAGUCUCUGAUGAGGAGUUGCUAGCUGUUAGGAAAAACCUGGAAUGGGCUCCACUGCAUGAGGUUUGAAGUCUCCAGAGCAGCAAAGAGAGUGGGGAGUAGAACUCAUCAUCUUUAGGUCACUCAGCAUCGA